rnacentral:lncRNA from 1 species
AUGGAGACGCGUCUUAAAGAAAAGCACGGGAGAAGAUACGGACAGUGUUCGUUCUGGAUAGAGAACAGCAUCUGGCGUCAGAUGCUCUCCGUGUUAAAGGACCCGGACACGCUGGCGAUGGGGAAACUGCACACGGGCGUCACUCUCACCUGCCUGCCUUCUCGUUUCUGCCUAUUUUCGAUUGAAUGUACUUCUACAAGAUUUGUACAGUGUGCCACUGUUGAGCUGCCUCCUCUUACUGGUGCUAAGAAAGCAAAUUUUUCUUUUUUUUUGUUUUGUUCUUCUUUCCCAGAUAUGACAAAAAAAUGGAAAGGAAAAAAAGAGAAAAUAUAGAAACACAAAGCCCUAAUCCUCUCUUUAUGAAUGUAUAAUAUAUGGUUAUGUUUGAUGUAUUCACACCAUAAUUCUUUGACAUUAAUUGGGAUUAUUACUUUUUGCUUUUUUUGUUGAAAAGAGUAUUGAGCUUUAUAAAUAUUGUCUACAGUUGAUACCAGAGGGAUUCUUAAUGAACUCUUGACAAGACAAAAAAUUACUGUAUAUUUUUCUCUGUGCCAAUUUGUAACAUAUUUUGUAAGUGUAUAUUUUUCUUAGAAAGUGCUGUGAAGUAUUAGUGUGUGUGAGUAACCUUUUUUGCGCCUCUGUAGGCAGUGAAAAGGAUGUAUAAUGAAAAAGUUUCUGGUUUUAAAAACCAAACCAUUAAGUAACACAAAAAAAAAAAUCUACAUUUUUGUUGGGAGUUUUGUACGAGAAAAUUGACCUUGUUGUGGGAGUACUGUGUUCAUGUGGAAAACACAAAUAGGCAAACAAAGAAAAAUGAUGAAAAAAAAAACAUUAAAUUUGUGAACUACUUGCUGUUUUAUAGAUUUUUCAUGUAAAUUAUUCUAGUAUUAUUUUGUUUAUGUUGUAACUGUUGCAAAGGUUUUAAAUAUUUGUGAACCCGCCUGUAUGGUGAUAAUGUAAUAUUGGUAAUUUGCUGAGUUUUGUAAUAAUGUUUAUGGAGUAAAUAUACAAAUUAAAAUGAGAUUUUGAAUGCUGCUUUUGGAAAUUGUCAGUUUUGUUCUGUCACUGUUUCUCCUACUGUUUUACUGAUUCAAAACUUCACUUUAAAUGCAUUGGGGAGGUGUUUUGGACUUAGGAGUAAACAAAUAUACUAUAUUUUGAAACUAGUUUACAAUGUUUAAAUACCAUGUUUUAUUACAACAAGCCAGAAAAAUGAAUAUGGUAUAAUUAUACAUCACUGAUUGGUGGAAACUUCACACUGGACCUCGAGCAGUUUGGACUGUGUGUCUCUCCACUCUUCCUCCAGACUCUGCUCCCUUGAUUUACUAAUGAAAUGAAUAAAUGUAAAUUUACUGAUGAUCA